UACGAAGGGGGCUAGCGUUGCUCGGAAUUACUGGGCGUAAAGCGUGCGUAGGUGGUUUGUUAAGUCCGUUGUGAAAGCCCUGGGCUCAACCCUGGGAAUGGCAGUGGAUACUGGCGAGCUAGAGUGCGGUAGAGGGUAGUGGAAUUCCCGGUGUAGCAGUGAAAUGCGUAGAGAUCGGGAGGAACACCAGUGGCGAAGGCGGCUACCCUGGACCAGCACUGACACUGAG
rnacentral:rRNA from 1 species